UACAGAGGGUGCAAGCGUUAAUCGGAAUUACUGGGCGUAAAGCGUGCGUAGACGGUUCCGUAAGUCGGGUGUGAAAGCCCCGGGCUCAACCUGGGAAUUGCAUUCGAGACUGCGAAGCUAGGGUGCGGAAGAGGGAAGCGGAAUUUCUGGUGUAGCGGUGAAAUGCGUAGAUAUCAGAAGGAACAUCAGUGGCGAAAGCGGCUUCCUGGUCCAGCGCCGACGUUCAGGCACGAAAGCGUGGGAGCAAACAGG
rnacentral:rRNA from 1 species